AGGGAAAGAUGGUCCGUACUGGAUUCUAAAAAACAGUUGGGGUAAAGAUUGGGGAGAAAAUGGUUAUUUUCAGCUGAAUAAGGGAAAAAAUUCAUGUGGCAUCACAAAGUACCCUGUAGCCGCCAUUGUCAACAACCAAAAUAAGAUCACCUGCCCCCCAUAAAAUUAUAUCUAAAUGUAAUGCUUUGGGCCACCUAUUUGUAUUGCCAACUGGUGCCAAUAAAAGAGUAAAUAUGUAAAUGUG